AUCAGAUGAAAAAUGUUAUGUGAAGAUGAACUCUUCAGGAUCUAUGGUCAAAUGCUUCUUAGGGAAAAAACUUAAGGAAGUAAUCCUUUAGCAAGCUUCCUAAAGCCAAGACUAGUGAAUGGGCAUGCAGGGCACACAGGCAGCAGUUGUAAACACUUUCUGUGGGUGAAAGCUUGUUCAAAAUAUGAAGAAGGGCCAAUGCUCUGAACUGGAAUUUCAUGUGUGGUUUUGCUUUCAUGGAGCUGUAGCAAGAAACAGAUAAAAUUGCUCUAUAUCAAUGCCAGUAUCUUCCAGAUUGGCAGCUCUGGAUGCAGGAUGAGAUGAGAGUUUUGUUUCGUGAAACUAUGGUCACUAGCCUGUAGAAGAAAAUCAUCAAAAUUUGUUUCAUGUCUGACACAGGACAAGCAUCAACCCAAAAUCUUUUAUUUUACAGAAUUAAAUCUGAAGUUGCAUGU